rnacentral:rRNA from 1 species
CCUGAGAAACCCAAAAGAUCGAAUGGGGAGAUUCAUCGUCAGCGGUACUGGUACGUGUGCGGUUCGCGAUGUCCGGGACUUCGGUCUCGGGUCACGCGUCCGCAUGUUUUUUAUUGCCUGGUAUCGUCGGCGUGCACUUCUCCCCUAGUAGGACGUCGCGACCCGUUGGGUGUCGGUCUACGGCCCGGGUGGGUGCCUGUCUCGUGUGCGCUUUAUCGCGUCACUGCGGGGCAGACCCCCGGUUGCCCGACCGGCUGCUCGGCGGUACUCGCAAGGUAUCUGGCCGCAAAUAUUCGAACUGCGUCCGGCCCGUCGCAAGCGAGGCGAGUGUCCCGAAUGUACGGAUCUAAUGCCGUCAUCGGGCCUAGCCAGCUGUUGGUUGACGGUGUCCUAGGACUGGCUAUAAAAAUUAUGAUACCGGUCAGCGACGCUACUGCUUUGGGUACUUUCAGGA